CUCAGACAUGCUUUGUUUGAGAACAUUUACCAAACUCGAGUGGCCCGUGAGAACAAUAAGCUUCAACUAUUCGGGAGAGUAUAUUGCUUCAGCCAGUGAGGAUUCAUUUAUCGAUAUUUGACAAUGAUGCAUCAUCAAGUACAGAAAGCAAUCAAUGCUGAACAAGUGGUGUUUAGUUAAGGAGAAAGCUUCCGACUUGAAUGAAGUCAACAAGAAAGCUACAACAAUGAGAA
rnacentral:misc_RNA from 1 species